rfam:Ornithorhynchus anatinus chromosome 4, whole genome shotgun sequence.
CCCCUCUCAGAUUCACAUCUGGAGAGUUUCCAGUCCUCUACCAGUCUUGACUACGAGAGGGAGAGUCAAGCAGAAGCAUAUUCAUUCCAUUCCUAGCUUGGGCAGUGGCUAGAGAAUAAAAGGCAAUCUGUUACAAGU